GAUCUGCUGUCCUGGCACUGUGCUGGGUCUGAGGUCCCCAGUACAUCCCAGACUUGCAGAAGCAGCAUUUUCCAGAGGAAGCUGAGGCAUGGCUGCCCCAGAGCCAGUGGCUGCAUGUGCAGUGUUCCUCCGAAGGCUCCUGCUCUUGAUCCACCAGCGGUAAGACAAGUUUUGCAGUUGAAUGAUGUUUAGCAGAUGGAGUGUUUUGGACACUAAGUACCUCUACACAA
rnacentral:snoRNA from 1 species